rnacentral:rRNA from 1 species
UACAGAGGUCUCAAGCGUUGUUCGGAUUCAUUGGGCGUAAAGGGUGCGUAGGUGGCGCUGUAAGUCGGGUGUGAAAUUUCGGAGCUUAACUCCGAAACUGCAUUCGAUACUGCGGUGCUUGAGGACUGGAGAGGAGACUGGAAUUCAUGGUGUAGCAGUGAAAUGCGUAGAGAUCAUGAGGAAGACCAGUGGCGAAGGCGGGUCUCUGGGCCUUACCUGACGCUGAGGCGCGAAAGCUAGGGGAGCGAACAGG